GUGGGGAAUCUUGCGCAAUGGGCGAAAGCCUGACGCAGCCAUGCCGCGUGAAUGAUGAAGGUCUUAGGAUUGUAAAAUUCUUUCACCGGGGACGAUAAUGACGGUACCCGGAGAAGAAGCUCCGGCUAACUUCGUGCCAGCAGCCGCGGUAAUACGAAGGGGGCUAGCGUUGCUCGGAAUUACUGGGCGUAAAGGGCGCGUAGGCGGACAGCUUAGUCAGAGGUGAAAGCCCAGGGCUCAACCUUGGAAUUGCCUUUGAUACUGGUUGUCUUGAGUUUGGGAGAGGUGAGUGGAACUCCGAGUGUAGAGGUGAAAUUCGUAGAUAUUCGGAAGAACACCAGUGGCGAAGGCGACUCACUGGCCCAAUACUGACGCUGAGGCGCGAAAGCGUGGGGAGCAAACAGGAUUAGAAACCCUAGUAGUCC
rnacentral:rRNA from 1 species